rnacentral:rRNA from 1 species
UACGUAGGGUGCAAGCGUUAAUCGGAAUUACUGGGCGUAAAGCGUGCGCAGGCGGUUAUGUAAGACAGGUGUGAAAUCCCCGGGCUUAACCUGGGAACUGCAUUUGUGACUGCAUAGCUAGAGUACGGCAGAGGGGGAUGGAAUUCCGCGUGUAGCAGUGAAAUGCGUAGAUAUGCGGAGGAACACCGAUGGCGAAGGCAACUCC